rnacentral:rRNA from 1 species
CCUACGGGUGGCAGCAGUGAGGAAUAUUGGUCAAUGGCGCGAGCCUGAACCAGCCAAGUCGCGUGAAGGAUGACUGCCCUACGGGCCGUAAACCUCUUUUAUAAAGGAAUAAAGUGAGGCACGCGUGCCAUUUUGUAUGUACUUUAUGAAUAAGGAUCGGCUAACUCCGUGCCAGUAGCCGCGGUAAUACGGAGGAUCCGAGCGUUAUCCGGAUUUAUUGGGUUUAAAGGGAGCGUAGUUGGGUUGUUAAGUCAGUUGUGAAAGUUUGCGGCUCAACCUUAAAAUUGCAAUUGAUACUGGCAGUCUUGAGUACAGGUGAGGUAGGCGGAAUUCGUGGUGUAGCGGUGAAAUGCUUAGAUAUCACGAAGAACACCGAUGGCGAAGGCAGCUUACUAAACUGCCACUGACAUUGAUGCUCGAAAGUGUGGGUAGCAAACAGGAUUAGAUACCCUUGUAGUC